AGCUAUGGGGGGUGGGCAGUGAAGGGUGUAUUUAAGUACAUGCCGUUGUGCUUCAGGAGUCUCAGCAGCAAAAGCCUCAUGACUUAAAACCCAAAGGAUUUGGUUCAGGUGUUAAGAGGGUGCUCUGCUGAUUAUAGACCUUUGUAUCCCUACCUCCUCCCUCCAAUUGUCCCAUCCACUCUUGUACCCUCAUACUCACCCCUGCCUCAUUCUCCCUGCUCAAGAGGAAAAAAACAGGGAGUGCUCCUCAGGGAGGAGGUGCAAGGGUGUAGGCUCAUGGCUGCUGGCCCAGGACAGCCAGACAACAGAGCCUCCUUUCUAUGCAGAGUCUGAUUCUAAAAAAAGGCUAAGAAAAAAAAAAAAAAAGAUGAUGGUACAGGAGUUCAAUUGUGACCUCAUGGUUCCCGGAACUGGAGUAGAGGAGAAAGUUAGAUAACGCAAUAAGAAUGCAAAUCAUAGUAAACUGAACAAGUUAGGAAUAGGUAGAUUUAGCGUAGGCUAACAGAGUGUAGGUACAGAGAGGAAGACAGCAGCUAUUUGCUACACAGCUAAUGCAAAUGCUAGAACAGGUCUGUUGGAACAACUCCACCUAUUCAAUACUUUGCCACUUGGCUUCCUUACCUUUUUAAACAAGGUCUGACUGCCGCUGACAGCUGGAAUCUACUGGUUUUCCUGACAGCCAUUCACACAUUCCUUCAGGGCAGUUCAUCAAUCUGCUUGCACGUCCCUAGCUCCCAGGUAAAAUGGAUUUGUUAUUUUUAAAGCGCAAUCUGUGGGGAGAAAGGGCUAGAUAACAUACUGCUUUACUUUUCUUUACUGCUCUAGAUCCCUUUAAAAGUGUUAACUAGAUAAUUCUAACAGUUGUCUGGACUCAGUGAGCAAGAUUGUCUUUGUUUUAGUAAAGGGGAACUGAGGCAGAGAAAUCUAGAGAACUUGCUCAAAGCCACACAGGGGAAUUUUGUGUCAGCUAGGAUCAGGCUACUGAGUUACCCCAGUCUCACCUCUCUGCUCUCAAAAAUGCUGCCUCUUACAUGUGGUAAGAUCACAAAUUAAGCUAAGAGCAUCUGAGUUAAAUACUGGUUAGUUGAGUUAGAUCAUGGUUAGACAUGGCAUCCACCAGAAUGAUAAAAUGAGGGGCUCUCAGCAUUCAUAACCUCAUUUGAGUAAGAGCUACAGGUUAGAGCAUCUCUUUGUCAGUUGUGGAAUUGAUGUGAAGAACAGACCUUUGUAUUGUUGACUUGCAAGAGAAAGUAGGCAGAGUAGCUUAGGCUAUUUUUCUCUGCAAAGUCACAUCUUAGUAUAACUCCCCGCAGAUCAUUGUGCAGCCUUAUUAGUAGAUGUACCAUCUCCUUCCACAAACCUGCAUUCUUUACUUCUCAAAAUUCUAGUUCCUAUUAAAAUAUCUAUACACAAAGACAAUCAAAGCAGCACAUUUAAAGAGCUCAGAACUCUAUUUUUGAGGAAUAUUCUUUUUUUUGCCAUUUCUCAAUUCUUGUUACCCUUUCUUUACAUUCAGAAAAACUUGUUAUACCUAUACUGAUGCCACUUACUGCCAAACAAUCAAGCAGUUGGUGUGCCAGCACAGCACUUGAAGGCACAGGUGCUUUGUAACAUACCUAAGGCAGCUUGAAGCCUCAGAAUAUUCUUUAUUGUUCUUCAAACAAGGAAAAGAAAACCCUACUGCAGAAAAUGCACUGAAAAGAAGAUUUUAUUGAAUAAUAUUUACACUUUUUGGGGAAAAGUUGGACUUAUAUUUUGGGAAUAUUUUGGAUGGUUUUGGUCAGUUCUAGGGAGACAUAUUUGUCCAAAGGCAAUUCUCUUUCAUUUGUGGAUGUCUCUUCCCUUCACAACUACAGAUAGGCCACCCUCUUUAAGACUCAACUGCCCAGCAUUCAUUUUGCAGACAGGGUCACGCCUAUGUAGAGAACUAAUGGUAGGAUAAAAUGACUUUUGUUUCCUUUAAUGCAAUUUAGCAGCUGAAAAGUGUCAGUUUCCCCUCAAGAGAUUCAGGCAUGGGAUCACAGAUGCAUUCUGGGAUCUAAGGCAUAGUUUUGAUACAGACUGAAAUUGGUUUAGACAUCUUAGAGAACUGCUAAAAUGUGAGAAAGCACUGUGAGACAUUUUGCAGAGCAGAGCCAUUAGAAGAAAGGUGAGAUUGCUGGCUAAGGGGGGGGGAGUGUUGAUACGGGGAUAAUUAGCAGCUCAAGGGUCCUUGAAGAGAAAAAAACCAACACGAAAGCCAUACAAAAUUCUACGGAAACAAAACUAGGUAGCUCAGGGACAGCAGUUUAACAAUGUCAAUCAUCAGCCCUUUCCAAGCAGCACCAGAAGCCAAUCCUCACCCUCUUGACUGAAGGUUGCCCAGCCAGUAGGGGCUCCUUAGGUGCUGUAUCAGCAUGUUAGCUCUACCUACACAUUACAUAUAUUGAUGAAUAAAUCAUAAGUUUUACUCUUCAAAGCUGUGAAAUAUUUUUUGCAGAGGCUUGGUGCAUAGCAAAAGGCACCCAAAUGAACUGGCCCAGAGGAGCAAGGUCACAGAACAAGGGAGAGCUAUUCAGUAUGGGCAGCACCUCUUCCUGCAUCACCCUUUGAGGCUCACUGCCUUAAGAACCAAAGGAGGAGUUAGAAACAGCAUGAAAAUGACUUCUGAAUUUAUAGUCAUGCGUUAUUCCAAAGUACCAAAACAGGUGAGUGUCAGUGUCUCCUUCUAGUCUUGCCAUAUCCAGCCAGCAAAGGGUGUGAGCUAAUUGUUAAAUUCAGUUCAACAAGUUCCUCAUUAGGGGGAAAUUACCUGAGUUUGAAAUCUGCUAAUUUUCCAAUCAGGGUGAGUGUUUGCACUUGUGAUUUGGAAAUAAUUAACACAUGGUAUAACAUCAAAACCUAUGUAAAGCCUAAUGGUAGAGGGACUAAUUUCAUUGGCAUGAAAAUGGUGUGUUCUGUUUCCCUAGAGCUCUAUUACUGUCCUUUUGGUAUCCGUAUCUGCUGUGUAGGGUGUUCUAGUAUUUAUUUAGACUGGUUCUCUGCAGACUUGUACUUUUUCCAUGUUAACUUUGAAAAAUUGAACCUUAUUUUCCAAGGCUAUGAGUAAUUUUUUUAUUUUGAAAGGUGCUCUAUUUAUUUCUUUUUCUUCCUGUCAAUACAGACUUUCUCAGAAUUACUCACUUCUAUUAUCUCUAAAAGGAGAUCAUAAAAUGUGAUUUUAGACCAGGGCUUUAGCCUGAGUUCUGCAAAUGUUAAAAUACAUGUUUGCAGGAGAGCCAUGGGCUGAUCCUUAAGGGCGUUCUUCCUAGGAAUGUGGAUGUCGUGUAAUACUCAAAAAGAAAGGAUGUCCAGGUAGGACACUUAAUUAGGAAAGCAGAUGUGUACACGGGAUGUACAAAUGUAGCCAGAAAAUAUAAACUAAUUUUCUAUCUUAAAGUUUCAGCUAUUGAUAAAACCCCGAUCAUCACCACUUCUAUGUAUUAUCAGGUAAUAUUAGCUGCCUAAACCAGAUAUUAUUUCUGGUAAAUGACACUACCCUUAUAGUUUAGAGCAUGGCACUAGUACAGCUCAGGGCAUUAGUGACCUCUCACCACAAAGUGUGCAAGGGAGAGGAGCGAUUUAAUUUCUGGUAGCCAAGUCAACUCUCCCCCCAAGGCUGUCAUUAGUCCCACUGGUGUGAGUAUACUGCAGCUUAUUGGCAAGAAGGCUGUGACUUGACAGCUACAGACAAGAAGAGCCUGUUCCAUGUGAGCAGGCAGCGUGCAGCAGAGCACAGGUAUGUUACCUGGACUAAUGUCUAUUCUAGAAGCCAUCCAGAUCUGGCCACAAGCUCAGUGGCACAGAGCAUGGUAUGUGAGCUGUGCUUGCUCACAAUUAGCAUGUGCGGCCUUUCAUUAUCUUCUGUCACCGCAUUGCCUUUAAACCCCUAAAACCUCUGAGCAGACCCUCCUACAAAAAAGCAAGCCAGCAAGGAUAGGGUAGCUUUAAAUGGCAUCUGAUCUACCAAGGCUUCAUCAAGCAGCAUCUUUUAGGCAGAAAGUCUGCCCCAUGAAGCCCUAGGAGGGAAACAUGGCUCUUUCUGCGCAGCUCUGUCUUCUCGCAUGUCCACCGAUAUCUUUGGCAACCGUCUGCACUGAGGUAGGAGUUGUGUUUCAGGUACUUGUGAGUCAGUACUUGGGAAUUCUCUUACUGGAUUAAUAUCUCUGACUUAGGUGACCUGUUUUGAACACUUCCAAUAUCUUAAUUGUUUUUCUUUUCCUCAAUGUAUUUUUGGGUGAAUGUAAACAGAGCUUGCAUUUCUUUCUUCAAAGAAGCAGCAUUUGUGAUUUGUGUGCAUGCCCAUCAAGUAGAAUUCAUGCCGCCAGAAAUGGUACACACAAGUGGUAGGGAUCUGCAUUUUCAUGCAAGCUGACAAUGGCUCCCUUUCUCGGUCAGUUUUGCUUUUUGUAGCUCAUUGCUUGUGAAUUACUGUUGCUUCUGAAAUUCUGGACUGCAAUUCUCAUAGCCAUUUUUCUGUUGCCUAUUUCUAUUCACCCGCCUACUGUUUUUCAUGACAUCAGCUGCUGCUACUUCUGUGCUUCAGGAGAAAUCGUUCGCUUCUGAAUUGGUUGCUUUGGUUAUAGGCAAUAUUUCCUAUGUCAAAUCCCCAGAGCUGUGAGAGCAUCUUCUCUUCUCUCUUACAUGGAGCAUCCCCCCCUUGGUGCUCCUAUGUAGCACAAAAAAGGGAGCAUGAGCAAGUGAACCUGAGGGGCUAAUACAUUAAAAUUCAUGCUUUUGAUUGGAGAUGACUGUUUAUAUUUCCAAAGCUUUUUAUUUUCCCUGUGUGCCUUAUCUUUUACUUCCCAAAAGGAUCAAAUUUCAAGCUCUGGUUAAGUAGCCCUUAUUUCACAAGAAAUACAUUGGCCAUUUCAUUCUGGUUCUUACUGAGCAGCUGUUGUGUUACAGGACACACCUGGCAACUCGGGGAUAAUUUUUUCUGCAGUGCCAGCUGCCUUGGGAGUUGCUGAGGAACCUACGCUGCAUAAACAAGGAAGAUCAAAGCCCUUAGGUCAUCUGCCAGACCAAGUCCUGCCUGUUGUCUGCCUGUGGAUAAUUUUAAGGAGAUAAAGCUCAACUGUUUCUUUCUUCCUCUCUCAUCCUUUUGGUUACGCGCUGCUUUCUACCAGGCACCCUCUUCUUUCAUGCUCCCUCCUCCCUUUGAAACUUUCUUCUUGGAGGCCUAAAGAUGGCAGCCUCCCGCCUGCAGACUGCCUGGGGAGAACAGCUCCUACCACUGAAAUGGGAGAUGUGUGACAAAGUCCCCUGGUGCCAUGCUACCUUGUUUGGCUGCCUGCUGAGGACCCAAGGCAGCACUGAGCCCUCAGGUAAGUGGCUGUGAAGUUACGAUGGUCUUUGCUGUCACUAUAAUUAUGCGUCAGAAAAUCAGCCAACUUCUGGAAGCUAAUAUUAGUCUCUUAAAAAUAGUAAUGAGUUAAAUGUUAGUUGCUCUCUUACAGCAGAUUGUGGAUGUCAAAUGUAAAUUGCUACUCAACAGCUCUAAAAAAGAAAACAUUAAAAAAUUAUUAAUUCUUGGUGAUUCUCCCAAUGUGUGCACACACAUACAAAUCCCUCCUAUAAUUUCUCUAUUUUUAACCACUCACACAGAUUUGAGUGACAUGCAAAACUGGUGCCGAAGCCAUAUGAAGUAACACAUGUAUGCUAGGCUAAGUGUGCCAGAUUAAGGUUUUUGGGAGUUAUCUAUGUCCCAUCCAACAUAAAAACUAUUUUACUAUAAUUUUUACACCGAUAUUUCCAAAUCACGAUCAGAGCUAUCCAGCCAUUGUCUAUCCUUAACAUAAAUUGACCUGUUGUUAAGCAUUGGCCCAGCAGACAGCAUCCCUUUGAAGGGAACAGGCAGGUGUGUGCUUUGUUCAGAUCCUCCAACUCUUGAACAGCCACCACAGCUCACCAUGUUACAAGGCAGCACCCAGCAGCAGCCCGGUGGGGUAAGAAGCCAGCUCUCAGGUUAGCCUUGCUUCUGCCAUAUGGUGCCCUCAGAGACAGCUUUUUCAGUAAAACUGUUCACAAAUCUCUUGCAAAGGAAUUAAUUACAUUUUUUUUCUUUUAAUGAUUCUAAUGGGAUUUUGAAUUGCUUUUGUAAUGUUAAAGAGGAGACAAUGCUAGUACUGUACCGACACCACUGUCAUAAUUUUUAGCCUGUUUCUCCCUCAGGGAAAAGAAUGCCGAUAAAUGGAGAAAGACUCAAAGGGUUUAAUUUGGAUUUAUCAUUCUUAAUUUGCUAGGCUUAAGCCCACUAUUUGAAUGGCUCUUUUUGAGGAAGCGAUCCAAAUCCUUUAUUAGUCUAAUAGGAUUUGGCUAAUAUUACUGACCUUAUCCCAUCCUCAAGCUGGAUUUCCACUGAUGGUCUAAACGGAUCUUGCCUGACUCUAAGGCAAAACCUGGCUGUAAACAGUUGUGGGCUGUCUGAGACAGGACUUGCUACCCCUGCUUUCCCUCCAGGCGAGUAAGCAAUCUCUGAUGAAACCCCCUUCUAAGGAGAGGUGAGAAAAGUGUCACUGAGUGCCUGCUGGCUGAUUGUUUUUUCUUUAAAAUUGUGUUAUUAAUUACUCCCAAAUUUUCUUACCUUCUGUCUGUAUUCUACUACCACCCAAAGCAUGGGUGAAGGACCCCUGUAAUUGUGUCACACUAAAAAACCUAUAGUGAGAGAUGAUUAAUAAAAUUUGGCCAACCAUCUUACCCUGUCUGAACUCCUGUAUUCCUGGAAAACUACAGGCUGACUGCCCAGCAAUGGGCAAGAGCUAUCCCCAUCCCUGAGCCACCUGAGGGUUUUUUUCUCUUUUCUAGUUAUUGAUAAUCCUUGAAAAUGGCACGCAUGUGCAAUGUGGUCAUCCCUUUCCUCUUGCAUCUCUGUUUGUCCUACGUUGCAGGUAGAACAGCACCUGGGUUUGUUGUCUGUACUGUCCCAUCUUUCAAAAAUUUUUAGCAGAGAUCUGAUACCCAUUUUGUUUUUCUAGGACACAUCAAAGGACGUUUUAUGAUAGAUGUGACUUCUUAAAAUGUUGCAAAUAAAUACUAGAAAAGUAAGAUAUUUCCCAUGGAAGAAAAAUAUUAAGCAUCUCCCCGUGAUGCUCUCAAUGAGCAAAAUGCCUCUCGUUUUUUUUUUCCUGAUGAGUAACAUCUGCCCUACUCUUACUGUGUGUCCCCCAAACAAAGCCUAUUUGGUUUAGUCUUUGGUGGUUCUAUACAUCAGUAAGAGCUAAAUCAAGUGAACUUCAUUAUUUUUUGCAGCUAACAUGUUUAGCUUUUUAAAUUUGCAUGUGCAGAAGUGGCUAACAUAGCAAGGGAAGGGGAGCUACCAGAGAACCAUCAGUGAAGAAGGGGCAGUCACCAAGGAUAACGGCAGUAAUUCCCCAGCUGCCUCAGUCUCAGAGGUUCCAGCACACCGUCACUGACAUAGCAAAAGAGGCUGGUGUUCAUAUUUGUGCCAUGAUGGGAAAUAUAGUUCACCUACAUUUAAUUUAUUUUAAUUCUACAGUCUCUAUAGGGAGUUUAGUGCUAUACCUUGAGAAGAAACUUCACUCUGCUCAUAAAGUCAAAAUCACUGUAUUUAAUUCCCCACUCUUGUUAGAAAGGAAGAAAAAAAAGGAAUAUGAUAAAAUAAUUGGGUGUCACCCUCCCUCCUCCCCCUCCCGUUUCCACGCUUCUUCACGGCUAAGGAAUUAAAUGUAGCGCCCACAGGGUAAGGCAGUUAUUUCAUGGAUUACAGAGUGACGGUAACUGUCAAACGCUCAGUGACUCCACCUAAGUAGCCUCUAAAGGCUGAAUCCACUCUCUCUCACCUUCUCCAACAACCAGAUUACCGGCAGCUGUGGUGUCACCAGCAGUCUGAAGCAUCCAGCGUGACAUCUGGGACAUAGGGAUGUUCUGAAAAACAGAAGCGCGAGGAAUUCCUAUAUGUGCUGGGGUGUAGUGGAGAGCUUUUCCCACGGGAGACAAGGGAUUCUUUGAUGCGCAGUCUCGUUCUGUGUAUAUUGUAUUGCAGAUUCCUGCCUUCAUUGAUAGACAACAACUUUUGAAGCAAAACUCAGCCCAGGCGUCACAGCUGUGCCACCACAAAAGCAAGCCAUAGGUCACAGGCAGCUGAACAUCUGGGCUUCUGUUUAGUGUUUGAAAGUUAGCUGCACAUUCCUAUCAGAACAAAGGCUUUGAAAUGUGCAUUUCAUCAGCCAUCUAGUCUGGAGAGGAACGGCAUGAAUUUCAACACUUCUGCUAUUUUUGCCUGCAAAAUAUUCAAAAUUGUUUCUGCAGAAGCUAUGGGCAGCAGUGGGGGACAUUUAUUUAAAGAAAUUUGGAACAAUGGAUCUCUAGUGAUUAAAAUAAAAAUGGAAAUUACAUUCUGGA